rnacentral:rRNA from 1 species
UACGUAGGGUGCAAGCGUUUGUCCGGAAUUAUUGGGCGUAAAGAGCUCGUAGGCGGUUUGUCGCGUCGGCUGUGAAAACCCGAGGCUCAACCUCGGGCCUGCAGUGGGUACGGGCAGACUAGAGUGCGGUAGGGGAGAAUGGAAUUCCUGGUGUAGCGGUGGAAUGCGCAGAUAUCAGGAGGAACACCGAUGGCGAAGGCAGUUCUCUGGGCCGUAACUGACGCUGAGGAGCGAAAGCGUGGGGAGCGAACAGG